AGCGAACGCUGGCGGCAGGCUUAACACAUGCAAGUCGAGCGGACCUUUCGGGGUCAGCGGCGGACGGGUGAGUAACGCGUGGGAACGUGCCUUCCGGUUCGGAAUAACCCUGGGAAACUAGGGCUAAUACCGGAUACGCCCUUAUGGGGAAAGGUUUACUGCCGGAAGAUCGGCCCGCGUCUGAUUAGCUAGUUGGUGGGGUAACGGCCUACCAAGGCGACGAUCAGUAGCUGGUCUGAGAGGAUGAUCAGCCACACUGGGACUGAGACACGGCCCAGACUCCUACGGGAGGCAGCAGCGGGGAAUAUUGGACAAUGGGCGCAAGCCUGAUCCAGCCAUGCCGCGUGAGUGAUGAAGGCCUUAGGGUUGUAAAGCUCUUUUAUCCGGGACGAUAAUGACGGUACCGGAGGAAUAAGCCCCGGCUAACUUCGUG
rnacentral:rRNA from 1 species